rnacentral:misc_RNA from 1 species
GGAUUGUGUUGGAUAUUCUCUAUUAAAUUUAACAUCUGAUAAUUGCAAUGCAAUUCUUUCUUUAUGUUCAAAAAAACAAUAAUCUUUCUGCCUUUGUGCAGGCAUAACAUGAUUGAUAGUCAGUAAUCAGUCACGACUUUCCUCUAACACGUAAAAUUUCCGCGUCGCAGCCUGCCUUCUCUUUAUUUUGUUGUCUUUUUAUUUGCCUGUUCUGGCUUGUCUGAUGAAGAAUAUCCGAAGCUCACAACUGCAAUUACAAAAAAAUGACAUUGUAAUUGCCAUCUAUCGAGUACAUCGAAGAGGCCUGCAUAAAGAGAACGAUAGUAAUAACCUUUGUUUUACUUUCCACUCUUUAUAAACAUACAUGGGAACUAAGCACAUCACACAGAAUUGAACAUCUUAUAAAUUCCAUAUCAAACUAUACCAUCUUCAUCUCAAGUUCUUGACCAUGCAUGGCCUCAGCAACUUCCAUCCUGAAAUUCUUUUUACUACUAGUUGCCUCAUUUGCCUGUCCAAAUGGCAAUGGCAGGAGACCCAAAAAUUGUUUCUGACUUCUUAAUCCCAUCAAAUAUGACCUCGGUUGAUGGGGCAUUCUUCACAUUCACUGGCAUGCGUUCCCUUGUUGGCGCUGAACCUCCUACUGCUUUCAAGGUCCUGAAAGCAAGCAUGGCAGAAUUCCCUGCGCUUAAUGGGCAGAGUGUUUCCUAUGCUGCUUAAUUGGCAGAGUGUUUCCUAUGCCGUGCUUCUGUACCCAGCUGGUGCUCCUAACCCACCUCACACUCAUCCUCGCUCAGCUGAGCUACUUUUCGUCGCUGAUGGAUCUCUCCAAGUAGGAUUUCUCGACACCACCAACAAGGUCUUCACUCAGACACUGCAAGCUGGUGACUUGUUUGUAUUUCCCAAGGGACGUGUUCAUUUCCAAUAUAAUGCAGAUGCACAGAAACCUGCUUCUGCAAUUUCAGCUUUCGGAAGUGCAAAUGUAGGGACAGUAUCACUUCCUAACACCCUUUUCACCACCAGCAUUGAUGACGGCAUCUUGGCUAAAUCCUUCAAGACUGACGUUGCCACCAUACAGGCCCUCAAGGCUGCUCUUGCACCCAAGCCCUGAGUUUACACAUCCUUACCAUUACUUUCUCAGUAUUCAUUCGAUUUCAAGUGUUUACGGCUAUCUAUCAUUCAUCUUCUUUUGUUUUUGUAUCCUUGACCGAGCGUUAAAUACCCAGCCUAACUGCCCAGAAGAUCACACAAGGGUAGCAAUUGU